CACACAGAGACCAGGUUUCAGACCAACCUCACAAACCAUCAGCUAGCUAUAAACCCUAACCUACUCACCUUUUUCCUUUUAAUUUACUAUCUUUGAACUCUUGAGCUCUCUUCUCUUGUUUCUACUUCUUCUUCUUCUUCUUCUUCUUCUUGUGUUAACUUGUUGUAAUAUAAAAUCAUGGCUGCUACCUGUUCAUAGCAAACCCUAACCUAGCCUUUUUCUUCAACACACACACACACACUUACAUACAUACAUACAUAUAUAUAUAUAUAUUAUUUUAGACUUUUAGUCUUGUUUAUUUUAUCAUUUUAUGGUAAUAAAACCCCUUCUCUUUGCCUAUAAAUCCUCCACCAUCACCUCAACUCUCCUGGCCCCUCAUCUCCCCUCUCUCUCUCUCUCUCCUUCUCCCAGCUACUACUACUACCACCACCACCACUACUCCCUUCUUCUUUCUUUCUUUCUUUCUUUCUUUCUUUCUGCCUUUCUAUUUAUCUAUCUAUCCAUGUAUCUAUCUAUAGCUACUAUAGGAGAAGGACUUUGUUUUUGUUGUUCUCUAAUGGUGGGGAUGGUGAAAGACAGAUGUUUUUGAAGCACAUCAAGACAUGAUCUCAAAGGGAAGAUGAUGAAGAUGAAGAUGAAGAAGAAGAAGAAGAAGAAGAUGCAUAUGUUGUUGUUUUGUUGAACUGAGAUUUUUAGUUUUACACAUCACUGGUUCAAAAUAAGUACAUGGAUUCUCUCCAAAGUGCACUGUCAAAGAACUUGGAUCUCACUCUCUUUUAUUUAUUUAUUUUUCUUUCUUGUUUAUAUUUUUAAUCUUUCUUCUGACACAAACGUGCAUUUCCAAAUCUUUUGGUUGUCUA